rnacentral:rRNA from 1 species
GACGAACGCUGGCGGCGUGCUUAACACAUGCAAGUCGAACGGAAAGGCCCUGCUUUUGUGGGGUGCUCGAGUGGCGAACGGGUGAGUAACACGUGAGUAACCUGCCCUUGACUUUGGGAUAACUUCAGGAAACUGGGGCUAAUACCGGAUAGGAGCUCCUGCUGCAUGGUGGGGGUUGGAAAGUUUCGGCGGUUGGGGAUGGACUCGCGGCUUAUUAGCUUGUUGGUGGGGUAGUGGCUUACCAAGGCUUUGACGGGUAGCCGGCCUGAGAGGGUGACCGGCCACAUUGGGACUGAGAUACGGCCCAGACUCCUACGGGAGGCAGCAGUGGGGAAUAUUGCACAAUGGGCGGAAGCCUGAUGCAGCAACGCCGCGUGCGGGAUGACGGCCUUCGGGUUGUAAACCGCUUUCGCCUGUGACGAAGCGUGAGUGACGGUAAUGGGUAAAGAAGCGCCGGCUAACUACGUG